GAUGAACGCUGGCGGCGUGCUUAACACAUGCAAGUCGAACGAAGCACUUUAUUUGAUUUCCUUCGGGACUGAUUAUUUUGUGACUGAGUGGCGGACGGGUGAGUAACGCGUGGGUAACCUGCCUUGUACAGGGGGAUAACAGUUGGAAACGGCUGCUAAUACCGCAUAAGCGCACGGCAUCGCAUGAUGCAGUGUGAAAAACUCCGGUGGUAUAAGAUGGACCCGCGUUGGAUUAGCUAGUUGGUGAGGUAACGGCCCACCAAGGCGACGAUCCAUAGCCGACAUGAGAGGGUGACCGGCCACAUUGGGACUGAGACACGGCCCAAACUCCUACGGGAGGCAGCAGUGGGGAAUAUUGCACAAUGGGCGAAAGCCUGAUGCAGCGACGCCGCGUGAGCGAAGAAGUAUUUCGGUAUGUAAAGCUCUAUCAGCAGGGAAGAUAAUGACGGUACCUGACUAAGAAGCACCGGCUAAAUACGUG
rnacentral:rRNA from 1 species